GUUCUACUGAGACGUUGGUGACUGCCAAUACUGUUUUUUGAUCUAUGUCCGUUCUUAAAAGGGAACCUAGUACUCUUGUGGCAGUAGACCGGGCUUGUACCCGGAAACUUCAAACGAGAGCCAAUGGUGCCCACCUGGUUCGCCAGGUCAUAAACUGAGGUAAGACGGCGUCAUGGGGAAUCU
rnacentral:other from 1 species